UAAUAAGCUAUUAAGGGCUAAUGGUGGAUGCCUAGACUGUAAGAGGCGAUGAAAGACGUAUUAGGCUGCGAUAAGCCUCGGGGAGCUGCCAAAGAGCUUUGAUCCGGGGAUUUCUGAAUGGGGCAACCCAAUAUAAUGAGAAUUAUAUUACCCUACGGGGAGCGAACCUAGUGAAGUGAAACAUCUCAGUAGCUAGAGGAAGAGAAAUCAAACGAGAUUCCCAAAGUAGCGGCGAGCGAAAUGGGAUUAGGACAAACCCAAUGCUUGCAUUGGGGGUUGUAGGACCAUGAUAUGAGACUAAAGAGGAUAGAUGAAAUACUUGGAAAAGUGUAGCAUAGAAGGUGAAACUCCUGUAAUUAAAAUUCUCAAUAGCUCUAAUGGUAUCCUGAGUAGGUCGGAACACGUGAUAUUUUGACUGAAGCCGGGGGGACCACCCUCCAAUCCUAAAUACUACUUACAGAUCGAUAGUGAACAAGUACCGUGAGGGAAAGGUGAAAAGUACUCCAGCGAGGAGAGUGAAAUAGAACC
rnacentral:rRNA from 1 species